CCCUUAGAUGUUCUGGGCCGCACGCGCGCUACACUGACUGACUCAACGAGUGUACAACCUGCUUCGACAGAAGUGGGUAAUCUUUUGAAAUUCAGUCGUGAUGGGGCUAGAUUAUUGCAACUAUUAAUCUUCAACGAGGAAUGCCUAGUAAGCGCGAAUCAUCAGUUCGCGUUGAUUACGUCCCUGCCCUUUGUACACACCGCCCGUCGCACCUACCGAUUGAAUGGUCCGGUGAAAUCUCGGGACGGCGGCUUGGUCGCUUGCGUCCGACUGCUGAAACUUGAUUAAACCAUAUCAUUUAGAGGAAGGUGAANUCGUAACA
rnacentral:rRNA from 1 species